rnacentral:rRNA from 1 species
UACGGAGGGUGCGAGCGUUGUCCGGAAUCACUGGGCGUAAAGGGCGCGUAGGCGGCCUGAUAAGUAGGGGGUGAAAUCCUGCGGCUUAACCGCAGGGCUGCCUUCUAAACUGUCAGGCUGGAGCACAGUAGAGGCAGGUGGAAUUCCCGGUGUAGCGGUGGAAUGCGUAGAGAUCCGGAAGAACACCGGUGGCGAAGGCGGCCCGCUGGGCAGAGACUGACGCUGAGGCGCGACAGCGUGGGGAGCAAACAGG